CUCAUGUCUACCGUCUCUGAACUGUCUUAUUACUAAGCAAAUUGAAUAGAGGGAAAUCGCAGCCUACACACCUUUAAUGUACAUGGAUUCAGUCACGUAUGGUGUAUGCACCUGCCCAGACCUGACCCUGUCCUGUAGCCCCUGCAAAUCCAGUAAAGACUUGUUUGGAUGCGAAUCAAACCCUCAGAUGGUUGACGAUCCUUUCAAACGUUUUGACAAGGGGAAAGGAACAACUACCCGGGAAACUCAACAUUUUGAGGCGAUCUACAGCUUGGUAAAUACCAAAAAGAGUGGAAACAGGGUGAUAAAAAGAAAUAUAAGUAGCCUCACCGUUAUCUUCAGCGUACAUUAUAACGCAGAACGGCGGCUGGUGGCUCUCUGUAGAAAACACAACCUCUUUGCAAUGUUUUGUUUGUGUUACUGUUUCUGUUAGUGUGAACGAAUUACAAAUAAAGACUCACUUCAAUAUUUA